GAAGCCAGCUUGCAUGUCGUGCGGACUCUCACACAGCCCUAUUCAGAGGUCUACGUGGUCAACAACUGAAGCUUCCUGACAACACCCAGCACCACCUUGCCAGGCCUGUGAAUGAAUGAUCAGCUUAAAAGUGAAUCUGCUAGUCCCAGUCAAGCCUUCAGGUAACUGUAAUCCCAGCCAACAUCUAGACUGUAACCUCAUGAGAGAACCUGAACCAGAACUACCCAGAUGGGAACCACUCAGACUGUGUCCUCUCUCUCUUACUCUCCCAGAGAAGAGAAGAACGAUCAUCAAUGGCCAAUGGCAGUUGCAGUGAAGCCACACCAAGAGCCGGCUUCAUGCUCAGGAGAGAACGCUGCACUUCCUGCUCAUGGUUUCCGGUGCUCUACAAGUUCACAGAAACUUCUCUAGUAGUGCACUGUAGAAAUGAUUCCUGAAAAUAUAGUCUUGACGAGGUGACUCUUAA